rnacentral:rRNA from 1 species
AGCAGCCGCGGUAAUUCCAGCUCCAAUAGCGUAUAUUAAAGUUGUUGCAGUUAAAAAGCUCGUAGUUGAAUUUCGGGAUUGACGUGACGGUCGUGCCUUAAGGGGUAUGAACUGUCGCAGUUGAUUUCUCACCUUCUGGAGAAGCUUGAUGUCCUUAAUUGGGUGUCAUGUGGAACCAGGACCUUUACCUUGAAAAAAUUAGAGUGUUUAAAGCAGGCAUUUUGCUCGAAUACAUUAGCAUGGAAUAAUAGAAUAGGACGGCAUGGUUCUAUUUUGUUGGUUUCUAGGAUCACCGUAAUGAUUAAUAGGGAUAGUUGGGGGCAUUAGUAUUCAAUUGUCAGAGGUGAAAUUCUUGGAUUUAUUGAAGACUAACUACUGCGAAAGCAUUUGCCAAGGAUGUUUUCAUUAAUCAAGAACGAAAGUUAGGGGAUCGAAGACGAUCAGAUACCG